AAAAGGAAAUAGUUUGGCACUAAAUGAAUUUUUUUUUUAAAAAAAUUUAUAUUAUAAAUUCGAGAAUGAAUGGUAUAAGAUCUACACUGUUUUUGGAAUAUAUAAAUAGAAUUUCUCUUUUUGCAAAUUGUUUACAUAUUCAUAAAAUGCAUGGGUGUGUAAUUUAUAAGCAUGUAUUAUUUAAGAAUUGAAUGAAAUUUACGAAGCUUAUAUAUUUAUGCAUCUAAAAAAAGAAAAAUUUAAAAGAAGUUGACUUGAAAAAAUAUUGGUAAAAACCUAUAGAAGUUAUCUGAAUUAACUAACUGUUUCUAGAGCAAGUGGUAAAGGGCUUGAUGGUUGGUACCGAGGUUCUAAGUUCGAAUUUUAGUUGAUUUAUAUUUUCAGCUAAGUUUAUUUUCUAAAUUAAAUAAACGAAGCGGGUAGCGUACUACAUAUCUCUCUCUAAAAAAGAAAAAAAGUUAUCUGAAUUAUGGAUCAUUUAAAUCGCGGCGACUAUUCAAUCUUUCAAUUUGUUUAAAUUGAGUCGGUCAACGGUACUCUAACUUUAAUUUUUAAAAUUAAAAUGUCAUUUUCUGACUCAAAUAAAAAGAUUAAAAAUUUUGAUCGCAAAAUUAAAAUAGUUUACGGUUCAAAUAAGUUAUGUAUAUUUUCAUUAAAGAUAUAUAUAU
rnacentral:lncRNA from 1 species